rnacentral:lncRNA from 1 species
CCGGUAGGCUCUCUCUUCUCUUCUCACUGAUUGAUUCGUGUGAGGUGGUGUAACGCUCAUAAUUAUAUCUCUUGUUGUUUCCAUUCUACAUUCGGUGCAUUCCGUCGAAGAGCCAUCGCGCGGUAACAUCGAUUCGGUUAGGUGAGAGGUUGUGUUUCGGUUAGGUGAGCAGACACAGAGAGUGGCGUGAAGGCUUGAAUCGUCGCUGCCGGUGACGAAAUCCGUCGCGGCUAGAUUCGCCGUCGUGGCUUGAUCUUCACCUCGUGAAGAUGCUGGACACGGAGGUUAGGAUGGAGUGUGUCCUUGGAGGGGCUUUAGUCGCGGCUAGAUUCGCCGUCGUGGCUUGAUCUUCACCUCGUGAAGAUGCUGGACACGGAGGUUAGGAUGGAGUGUGUCCUUGGAGGGGCUUUCCGCCACCGGUGCCAAAUUCCGGCGCGACCAUCGCGACUUGGUUUGUUCUUCCGUUCGCUGAAACGCGGAGUGAAGAGGUAGGAGGUGAGGACCGUUCAGUUUG